rnacentral:rRNA from 1 species
UGAAUACGAGACGCUAAGGCGUCGAAGUAGUGUAUGUCAUACUUCCAAGAGAAGCUUGCACUGUCAUAGAUAAAAAACGCCUGUACCAUAACCGACACAGGUGGGUAGGUAGAGUAUACUAAGGGGCGCGAGAUAACUCUCUCUAAGGAACUCGGCAAAAUAACUCCGUAACUUCGGGAGAAGGAGUGCCUUAUUCGUAAGGUUGCAAUAACAAGAUCCAAGCAACUGUUUAUCAAAAACACAGGUCUCCGCUAAGUCGUAAGACGAUGUAUGGGGGCUGACGCCUGCCCAGUGCCAGAAGGUUAAAGAAGUUGGUUAGCAAUUGCGAAGCUGAUAACUGAAGCCCUGGUGAACGGCGGCCGUAACUAUAACGGUCCUAAGGUAGCGAAAUUCCUUGUCGGGUAAGUUCCGACCCGCACGAAAGGCGUAAUGAUUUGGAUACUGUCUCGGAGAGGGGCUCGGUGAAAUAGACUCGUCUGUGAAGAUGCGGACUACCUGCACCAGGACAGAAAGACCCUAUGAAGCUUUACUGUAACUUGAAAUUGAAAUUGGACUUUAUUCGCGCAGUAUAGGUGGGAGGCGUUGAUUAUAAUCUUGUGGGAUUAUUGGAGCCAUCAGUGAGAUACCACUCUUGUAAUGUUAGAUUUCUAACUUUGAAUCAUUAUCUGGUCAAAGAACAGUUUCAGGCGGGCAGUUUGACUGGGGCGGUCGCCUCCUAAACGGUAACGGAGGCGUACAAAGGUUUCCUCUGAACGGUUAGAAAUCGUAUCUAGAGUGUAAAGGCAUAAGGAAGCUUGACUGUGAGACCUACAAGUCGAGCAGGGACGAAAGUCGGUCUUAGUGAUCUGACGGUACUGAGUGGAAAGGCCGUCACUCAACGGAUAAAAGUUACUCUAGGAUAACAGGCUGAUCUCCCCCAAGAGUUCACAUCGACGGGGAGGUUUGGCACCUUGAUGUCGGCUCAUCGCAUCCUGGGGCGGUAGUACGUCCCAAGGGUUGGGCUGUUCGCCCAUGAAAGCGGUACGCGAGCUGGGUUCAGAACGUCGUGAGACAGUUCGGUCCAUAUCCGGUGUAGGCGUUAGAAUAUUGAGAGGAGCCUUCUUUAGUACGAGAGGACCGAGAAGGACAUACCACUGGUGUACCAGUUAUCGUGCCAACGGUAAACGCUGGGUAGCUAUGUAUGGAGUGGAUAACCGCUGAAAGCAUCUAAGUGGGAAGCCCACCUUAAGAUAAGUAUUCUCAUC